GGAAUUGUUCGCAAUGGGCGCAAGCCUGACGACGCAACGCCGCGUGGAGGAUGUAGAUCUUCGGGUCGUAAACUCCUUUCGACCGGGAUGAAUUUCCGCCGGCCCAAUACGCCGGCGGGGUGACAGUACCGGGAGAAGAAGCCCCGGCUAACUCCGUGCCAGCAGCCGCGGUAAUACGGGGGGGGCAAGCGUUGUUCGGAAUUACUGGGCGUAAAGGGUUCGUAGGUGGCCAACUCAGUCAGACGUGAAAUCCCUCAGCUCAACUGGGGAACUGCGUCUGAUACUGGUUGGCUUGAGUGCAGGAGAGGAAUGCGGAAUUCCAGGUGUAGCGGUGAAAUGCGUAGAUAUCUGGAGGAACACCGGUGGCGAAGGCGGCAUUCUGGACUGCAACUGACACUGAGGAACGAAAGCCAGGGGAGCAAAC
rnacentral:rRNA from 1 species